UACGUAGGGGGCAAGCGUUGUCCGGAUUUAUUGGGCGUAAAGAGCGUGUAGGCGGCUAUGCAGGUCCGUUGUGAAAACUCGAGGCUCAACCUCGAGACGCCGAUGGAAACCGCAUGGCUAGAGUCCGGAAGAGGAGAGUGGAAUUCCUGGUGUAGCGGUGAAAUGCGCAGAUAUCAGGAAGAACACCCGUGGCUAAGGCGGCUCUCUAGUACGGUACUGACGCUGAGACGCGAAAGCGUGGGGGAGCGAACAGG
rnacentral:rRNA from 1 species